rnacentral:rRNA from 1 species
UACGUAGGGUGCAAGCGUUAAUCGGAAUUACUGGGCGUAAAGCGUGCGUAGGCGGUCGCGCCAGCCAGGUGUGAAAUCCCAGGGCUUAACCUUGGAAUUGCACUUGUGACUGUGCGGCUGGAGUGCGGCAGAGGGGGAUGGAAUUCCGCGUGUAGCAGUGAAAUGCGUAGAUAUGCGGAGGAACACCGAUGGCGAAGGCAGUCCCCUGGGCCUGCACUGACGCUCAUGCACGAAAGCGUGGGGAGCAAACAGG